GCGCCCGUAGCUCAAUUGGAUAGAGCUCCAGACUACGGAUCUGGAGGUUAGAGGUUCAACUCCUCUCGGGCGUACCA
rnacentral:tRNA from 1 species